GAUGAACGCUGGCGGCGUGCCUAAUACAUGCAAGUCGAGCGAACGGACGAGAAGCUUGCUUCUCUGAUGUUAGCGUCGGACGGGUGAGUAACACGUGGAUAACCUACCUAUAAGACUGGGAUAACUUCUGGAAACCGUAGCUAAUACCGGAUAAUCUUUUGAACCGCAUGGUUCAGAAGUGAAAGACGGUCUUGCUGUCACUUAUAGAUGGAUCCGCGCUGCAUUAUCUAGUUGGUAAGGUAACGGCUUACCAAGGCAACGAUGCAUAGCCGACCUGAGAGGGUGAUCGGCGACACUGGAACUGAGACACGGUCAAGACUCCGACGGGAGGCAGCAGUAGGGAAUCUUCCGCAAUGGGCGAAAGCCUGACGGAGCAACGCCGCGUGAGUGAUGAAGGUCUUCGGAUCGUAAAACUCUGUUAUUAGGGAAGAACAUAUGUGUAAGUAACUGUGCACAUCGUGACGGUACCUAAUCAGAAAGCCACGGCUAACUACGUG
rnacentral:rRNA from 1 species